AAGGCGGUGGAUCUCAUAUGUAACCUUGUGAACCAAGCAAUUGAAAGCUAACUGGGAUCGCAGCAGCGACACAAGUCUACAGCCAGCAGCAGCAGAACGAAGAACCACGUCUCGUCAACACUCGUCGUGCACAUGCCGUCACCCCUCAUGGCCUCAUGAUCUGCUCGCUGACGCGAGAAGCAUGUACGCGCGAGCUACGAGCUGAGGUAUGCAAGCGUCUUCGAUCUGGAUCUUCGCCACGAUCUUCUUCUCUAACAGCCCUAGCAUGUUAAGUGGAUGCAUGGACACGAUAGUCUUGUGUUUUACUGUAGAUGACUUCACUGUCACUGACAUUAGUUUCACACAGGAUUAUAAGUAGAAUAAUGGAAC
rnacentral:lncRNA from 1 species